ACUUAUUUUUGAGAGAGAGAACGUGGUCUCACAGUGGAGCAAAGGCAGGAGAGAAAGAAAGAGAGAAUCCCAAACAGGCCCAAGCAAGCUUCUUGCCAGCUGGAUCUCACAAAGUGUCAGAUCAUGACCUGAGCCCAAAUCAGGCAGCCUGGUAAAUUAUCCUUUUGUGAUAACUGUUAUAACAUGAAUGUGGUAUUAUAAGUACCUUAGAGCAAGGAGCCUUAAUGGAGAUCAAGGCUAAAACUUGCACAUACUUCAAGAUCAAGGACUGAUGAAAAAGUACAAGAUAGAAGACAGGAGAAUUGACCAAACUGUAGUUCAGGGUCCAGAGGGCACAGGAAAAACUCCAUUUUAAUAUGGUAUUAAUUGGGGCAACCUCCAGGUAGACAGAGCACAGUACACAAGAAUUUAGAUAGAAUUAUCUUUCAGAACACUGGUAAUGGGGACUAGUAAAUGUCUUUUCACAGCAGAAAUCCUGCAGAAAAGCAGGGUCUGUUCAUGUUCUUACUCUGUGAAUGAAACUAAAAGGCCAGCUAGGUCAACUGAUCAGGAUUUCAGAGAGGAAUCCUUGGCAGAAUCUAAGUCCAGAUGACUAGGUCAUAAUACUCUGCAUGAGCUGUCUUUGAUCUGGGAACUACACAGACACCAAGGUUCCAUCCCAUGCGCAAAUGUGAUAGCAAGACUAUUAAGGUGCUUGUAUGCCACUGUCCUUGUCACUGGGCUACCAAGUCCCAGGUUUACAAAGUGAACCAAUUCUGAGCCCAUUUUAAUGGUAAGAAUGGUAAGCAGAAGGUGUGUGUGGAGAGGCACCACUUACCCAGUAACUGAGGUUGCACAGAACUGACAUCAAUCCUUGCUCCACAUUUUACUAGCCGAGCAACUUUGGAAAUGCCUCUUAUUAAAUCCCUGAUGGCUUGCUUUCACAAUAUAGCCUGACUUUGGGUCGGCUUCCUAAAAUGAGACACAACUGUUAAACUGAACUGACCGAUUUCUCAAGACUGAGACUGCUUCAGUGAGAUAUGGAGCAAUCUGUCAACUUAGCUUCUGGAUUGUGAAACUUCUUAUUUGAAAUUCCAAAGGAGGAACUGAAAGGGAGCAGCUUUUGCCACCUCAAAAUAUGUCUCUUUGGCAUAUUGAUUAUUUUAAAGUGGGUUAAGCCAUUUGAAGCAGUCAAGAGAUCUGUUACAUGGACCUAUUGAGAGCUUGAUGCAUUCGUCUGGCUUCUUUAUGAUCUGACAUACUUAUGGCCUUUGUGGUGAGUGUCAAGAAAGCCAUUUUGGCAUCAAUACUCCAUCUCAGGAGGCAACCAUACCACCUCAACAGUCCUCUCCACUCUCUUGCUCUGAGCUCUCCAGUUCUUAUGAUCGUCCACGUUGAACUCAAUCUGUCAAAUUUCAGUACCUAGCAGUCUCUUGCCACCAGAAUUACACCACUAUAAAGAGA